rnacentral:rRNA from 1 species
AUGGUUAUGUUCCGGCCAUACAAUGUUGUGGUUAUCUGCAUCUUAAAAAUGACUGAAUCUUCAUGGGUUGAUCCUUACAGUGCUAUCCUUGCUUGUAUUGCUGGCGAUACUUCUCCAUCGUGCCGGUUAUCAUUGCAUGCCAUUGUUGUAGAUUCAAAUCAAGAAGCCACGAGGGCACCUUUAAGAAAUUGCACCAUCGGAGGUCUGAAGGCGGUCGCUCCGGCGGCGGAUUAUAGUUUCAGACAGUUGUGGCUUCGUGUAUGGAGUCGGCGGCGAGCGCGUGGAGCAGGAACAAGCAAGCGGAGGUAG